rnacentral:lncRNA from 1 species
AGGCUUCCCGUCUGCAAAUAUUCAAAGCAUGCUUAAGGAAGUCACCAGUCUCUAGGGAUGUUGACCUAGUAGCUCUUGCACGGUAUACUCAUGGUUUUAGUGGUGCAGAUAUCACUGAAAUUUGUCAACGGUCCUGCAAAUAUGCCAUUAGAGAAAAUAUUGAGAAGGUAAGUGAUUUUCCUCAAAUUGGAAAUAGCAUUCUGCAUAUCAUACUUGCCUGAGCAUGGCAUAUGUAAAAAAUUCAUCAUCUUGUAGAGGUAAUUACACUAUACAUGCUAGUUGUAGGCUGAUUUAGUUACAAGGUUCACUAAGCAUGAAUGUGUAUGAACUUGACUUUAUUGAUUAAGUUCUAACCCUUUUGUUUAUGUGAUUGAUGAAUAUCAAAUUUCUCAUUUUGAUUUUGUGUUCCAUCUGCAUAUUAAUUUCUUAUUAAAUACUCUUUAAUCCAUUUUUGCCUAAGAGAAAAAAAAUCGUAAUUGUUUCUUCUUUCCCCCUUGAGAAAGAGGGGAGAUUCAUUUUGCACACUAUUGCUUUUCCUCGUGUCUAAUCCCUGGAGAUGCAGGAUAUUGAGAGGGAGAGAAAGAAGACAGAGAACCCUGAGGCGAUGGAAGAAGAUGAUGUUGAUGAUGUCCCUGAGAUUAAAGCAGCACACUUUGAGGAGUCUAUGAAAUUUGCACGCCGAAGUGUCAGUGAUGCAGAUAUCAGGAAGUACCAGCUCUUUGCUCAGAC